UCCUACGGGGGGCAGCAGUGAGGAAUAUUGGUCAAUGGGCGCAAGCCUGAACCAGCCAAGUCGCGUGAGGGAAGACGGCCCUACGGGUUGUAAACCUCUUUUGCCGGGGAGCAAGCCUGAGCACGUGUGCCCAGGCGGAGAGUACCCGGAGAAAAAGCAUCGGCUAACUCCGUGCCAGCAGCCGCGGUAAUACGGAGGAUGCGAGCGUUAUCCGGAUUUAUUGGGUUUAAAGGGUGCGCAGGCGGUCUGUUAAGUCAGCGGUCAAAGCCCGGGGCUCAACCCCGGCCCGCCGUUGAAACUGGCAG
rnacentral:rRNA from 1 species